GGUCUGAUAGUUUAAAAAAAACUUUGAUUUUGUAAAUCAGCAUUGUGAAGUUACUCGGGCCU
rnacentral:tRNA from 1 species